UAGUAGUGGCUGAUCCUGUAUUCAAGAU
rnacentral:sRNA from 1 species